AAGAGGCGGCCGCACAGCCUGGUUCUCCGCGCCCUGCUCGCCGCCGCCGCUCGCGCGGGCACCACUGCUGGCCCGCGCCCCGCCGAGCGCCCCCGCCGGAGCACACGCACUCCGGCCGCCGGGCGCACCCUCGCGCACGCCCCCCGCGGCUCCGCCGGGCGUCCGAGCCGGGCAGAUGCACCGCCGCGUGCCCCCCCGCCCCGGGCCCGCCACCGCGCUCCGCCGCGCGCCGGGGGCUCCUCUCCCGGGCCCCCCUGGGCGCCCUCCGGCUCGGGUUCCCGCCCGCCCCUUGGAAUAACCCCUGAGGCUCCAGCCGUCGCCGCAAAGUUUCCCGAGGAGACCCGCUUCCCCGGCCGCUGCGCAGGUGAGGAGGCAGGGAGUGGGUGAGAGAAGGCAUCCUUUUUGGAGAGACCAGACCAGGGGGUGAAGCAGAAAGAACCCCUCCUCCCACCUCCCCAGCGAGGAGACCUUCACCAACGGGAGCAGCCAAGCAGCACAGAGCAGGGUGUGUGGGGGGGCUGGCGGCUCAGCAGCGCACGCCAGCAGCAGCCCCUGCCCCGUGGUGACCAUCGGAGCUCGUCAGCGGGGAAACGCACCCCCGCCUGCCCCCGGAGAUGCAGCCUUGAGUGGCAGGAGCACCAAUUCUUUGGAAAGUGGCUCCCUCUCAGCAUCGUCACGCAAGAACGCUCUCUGCACUGAGCCCAUUCUGCAACUGACUUAAAAGGAUUAAAAAAAAAAAAAAACUUGGUAAAGAAAAAGGGGGUAAAAGCUGUGCCUUUGGGGGAAGUGGUGACCAGCAGACAAAAGGGGGAGAGUUGAAAGAGACCGUUGGAAUUGCAAGCAGCCAGAGGCCACCCUACCCCGGGAUGGGCGCCGGGCCCUAGGGUAUGCCUGGGGAGCACCAGCCGGGACCCCCUCAGGCUGUGCACAGGAGGCCCUGGGCCGUGGGGGGGUGCCCCUGCCCCUCACUCCAGAGGAAGAGGCCAGCGGUACCCGAGGCCGAGGGUGCGGAGGCUGCUGCUGGGGGCCCUCUGAGUGCCGAGCCCAGGAGAGCCAAGUGAGGACCUCGUCCCUGUGCCCCGGGGGGCCCCCAGCCCACCCUACGGCCCGGGUGGAAGAUCUGUGCCCCAGUUGGCGCGUGGCCUGCCGGGACUGUGGGGCCCACCACGUCCCAAGGUGCGGAGUCGGCGCAGGGGUCCGAGGAGCGGAGACCCCAGCCGGACCCAGCGGGCUCCAGGGCUGCAGCAACCAAGCGGGUGUCGAGGAUCCGGGCCAGGUGGGCCGGGCUCCCCCCCGCCUUUCCACCAUGGUGGCGACACACCCCGCCGCCGGCGCCCCCACCUCGCCCGCUGCCACCGUCACGGCCACUGUCAUGAUGACCACGGCCACCAUGGACCUGCGGGACUUGCUGUUCCUGUGCUACGGGCUCAUCGCCUUCCUGACGGAGGUCAUUGACAGCACCACCUGCCCCUCCGUGUGCCGCUGUGACAAUGGCUUCAUCUACUGCAACGACCGGGGGCUGACGUCCAUCCCAGCGGACAUCCCCGACGACGCCACGACCCUCUACCUGCAGAACAACCAGAUCAACAACGCCGGCAUCCCCCAGGACCUCAAGGCCAAGGUCCACGUGGAGGUCAUCUACCUGUACGAGAACGACCUGGACGAGUUCCCCGUCAACCUGCCCCGGUCGCUGCGGGAGCUGCACCUGCAGGACAACAACGUGCGCACCAUCGCCCGGGACUCGCUGGCCCGCCUCCCGCUGCUGGAGAAGCUGCACCUGGACGACAACUCCGUGUCCACCGUCAGCAUCGAGGAGGACGCCUUCGCCGACAGCACCCGGCUCAAGCUGCUCUUCCUGAGCCGGAACCACCUGAGCAGCAUCCCCUCGGGGCUGCCGCACACGCUGGAGGAGCUGCGGCUGGACGACAACCGCAUCUCCACCAUCCCGCUGCAUGCCUUCAAGGGCCUCAGCAGCCUGCGGCGCCUGGUGCUGGACGGGAACCUGCUGGCCAACCAGCGCAUCGCCGAUGACACCUUCAGCCGCCUGCAGAACCUCACCGAGCUCUCCCUGGUGCGCAAUUCGCUGGCCGCGCCGCCCCUCAACCUGCCCAGCGCCCACCUGCAGAAGCUCUACCUGCAGGACAAUGCCAUCAGCCACGUGCCCUACAACACACUGGCCAGGAUGCGGGAGCUGGAGCGUCUGGACCUGUCCAACAACAACCUCACAACGCUGCCCCGCGGCCUCUUCGACGACCUCGAGAGCCUGGCCCAGCUGCUGCUCAGGAACAACCCUUGGUUCUGCGGCUGCAACCUCAUGUGGCUGCGGGACUGGGUGAAGGCGCGGGCGGCCGUGGUCAACGUGCGGGGCCUCAUGUGCCAGGGCCCCGAGAAGGUCCGCGGCAUGGCCAUCAAGGACAUCACCAGCGAGAUGGACGAGUGCUUCGAGACGGGGCCGCCGGGCGGCGCGGCCAGCGCCAAGACCACAGCCAGCGGCCACGCCCCGGCCACCACGCCCCAGGGCUCGCUCUUCACCCUCAAGGCCAAGAGGCCGGGGCUGCGCCUGCCCGACUCCAACCUCGACUACCCCAUGGCCACGGGUGUCGGUGCCAAGGCCCUGGUCAUCCAAGUGAAGCCCCUGACAGCGGACUCCAUCCGCAUCACGUGGAAGGCCAUGCUGCCCGCCUCCUCCUUCCGGCUCAGCUGGCUGCGCCUGGGCCACAGCCCAGCCGUGGGCUCCAUCACCGAGACCCUGGUGCAGGGGGACAAGACGGAGUACCUGCUGACCUCCCUGGAGCCCAGGUCCACCUACAUCAUCUGCAUGGUCACCUUGGAGACUGGCAACGCCUACGUGGCCGACGAGACGCCCGUGUGUGCCAAGGCGGAGACAGCUGACAGCUACAGCCCCACCACCACACUCAACCAGGAACAGAACGCCGACCCCAUGGCGGGCCUGCCCUUGGCGGGCAUCGUCGGCGGUGCCGUGGCCCUUGUCUUCCUCUUCCUCGUCCUGGGAGCCAUCUGCUGGUACGUGCACCGGGCCGGUGAGCUGCUGACCCGGGACAGGGCCUACAACCGGGGCAGCCGGAAAAAGGAUGAUUAUAUGGAGUCGGGGACCAAGAAGGACAACUCCAUCCUGGAAAUCCGCGGGCCCGGGCUGCAGAUGCUGCCCAUCAACCCGUACCAUGCCAAGGAGGAGUACGUGGUCCACACCAUCUUCCCCUCCAACGGCAGCAGUCUGUGCAAGGGCGUGCACACCAUCGGCUACGGCACCACACGGGGCUACCGGGACGGUGGCAUCCCCGAUGUCGACUACUACACAUGACGCCGGCCCUGCCCCACCCACCCCCGCCCCAGCUCCUGGCCGCCACCCUCCCGGGGUGGCACUGUGGCUUUGCCCGGCCGGCUGCCGUCCGAGAGAGAAAUGAGAAAAGAAUCCCACGGAUGACUUUCCCAGCAGAAAGCAAAGUUUGGGGAGGGCUUGACCGUUUUGUAGAAAGCAAUGGUGAAAGAAAAAAAAAAUUUUUUUUUAAAGAAUAGAAGGAAGGAUGGGGAGGAUUCCACGUUGUCGAAGAUGUCCUUUAUACCAAGUUACGCCAGUUGGAGAGGGAAAGACUAAGCAUAAAAUUGCAGGAAGGGUUGGGUUGGGGUAUUUUUUUUCCCCUGAACUGGGAAGACACUACUACCUGUACCACUCUGUGUACACCUUAUCUUCGCAAAAUUGCAAAAGAACCAGCUGCCACAUGGGGCACCCCCCAGAGACCCCUCGCUGGCGGCUGCUCACCGGCGACACGAUGGAAGGUUUCAAGGCUCUUCCCAAAGGAGAAUGGGAAGAAAAAGUCUUUUUGCUAUGGAGGUGUUGUCCUGAAAUCUCUCUCCUGGUUCUUUCCAUGCCAUUCCCCUUAUGGAUUUGCAGAAAUAGCGCUUCUUUCACUACAUUCUUCGAAUACUUAUGUAGCCACUUAAAAAGAAGACUUUCUUUUUCUAUACCAAAACCCUCUGGUUCCACGUACCAUCCUCCGUAGAAGCCCCGAGGGAAGCUGUAGCUUCUCCCGUCACCUGGAGGUGCAUCUGUCCACCUGUCUCUCUGUGUGUCCUGUAGCUAAAUGCAGAAGGGAAAAGAGGGCCUCUGACCCCAUCCCGUGGGCCUCGUGGAAGUUUGCUGACCACAGAUGUUUUAAGCCAGCCAGGCGAGGGGCGCCGACAGCUAAAGUCAGACCCAGAAAGGGUCUCCACAUGGAGACAUGUUAAUAGGAGCUGAGGAUUAUCUCCAAAGAGGCUCCAGCAAGCAAGGGGAUGUAGAGUGGACGUGCCCAGGCGUCGGGGAGCUGGGUUUAGCCCUCUGCCCUGUGACGGGCGGCCCUAGGUUCCCCGCCCAACCUGGAUGCCCCUUGCCCCUCAGUCCUGCCCACUGCACCCCCAGCUGUCCCGGCCUUAUCUGCAUAUCUCAAAGAGGGGAAGAUGGGGGGGGGAAUGAUCUUCCGUGGGAACAAUAGCAGUUUCUGCUAAACUUAACAUAAAAUAUGAACUCAUUA